CCUAAUUCUCCAUUAUCUUCCCCAUUUCCUAAUUCCCCAACCCUAGAACACCAACAAGUUCCUGUAACACACCGGUGAUAAAUCGUUUAUCCUAAAAUCUCUGAGCCAGAUCGAGCGCGAACCUUACCUGAGACCUAAUCUGCGAGAACGCAAGUCGAAUCGACGUUCAACAGCAUGUGAUCUGAUUUUGCUUUGACAAUUUCGAGUAAGUCGGCUGAUUUUUGGAGGAAUGUGAGGUGUUUGUCGAGAUCUGGACGGAGUAAGAGGAUGCGCCUGCAUCUAUUAACCACCGCUCGCCGUCGUACACCAUGACAGAGACAAAACAGAAGAAUAAUAGGGCUCCAGCAAAGAGGAAUAAAGGAAGCAAGGAUUAGAAGUGAAAAAAGGACCUCAUUUACCAUGGUGGAGACAAAACGGAAGAAUAAUAGAACUCCAUGAGGAUUUUGAGGGAGUGCAAAUUUUACAGAUCUUGUUCAUUGAUGUUCAUGUGAGAGGGUUGAAGAAGAACAUUGAUGAUGAGGAACAAUGGUGCAAAAGACAUAAAUCCCCUCACAUGAGGGGCACGUGAUAUAAACUUAACAUGUAAAAUUAACCAUGUUAGUGCUAAAGGGCCUAGGGUGUAAUGAGUUUUACAAAUAAAUGAUUGUGACUGUAAUUAUUGAAGUUAAAAGUUAUCCAUUACAAUCCUGUGAAAACAUAAAGGACGAAAAGUGUGUAAAGGAAGAAAGUUCAAGUCAAGCGAAGCAACAAG
rnacentral:lncRNA from 1 species